CCAUCCUCUGGAUGCUGAUUGGCUGUGCACAGGCGACUGACAAGCCAGGAAGUGCCGCGGGGGGAGCUGCUGGCUCUGUCCGAAGAACCAAUGUGGGGUUCAGGGAAGAGGGAUCUUGGAGGUUUUGUGGGUGAGAGGGCUCGAGGAUCCUGGGAAUCAGAGACCGAACUAGACCUCAGUACCACCGCAGAAUGGGCAGCACCUUCCGGAAUGGUCUUCGAAGCGAACUGAUUCCUUCUCGGCUACAAGUGAAUCUGGAAUCUAGACGCCACGACGGGUUCUUGAUCUCGGUACCUUUCUGGUCCCAGCGAGCUUCCCAGCCCUCAAAGGGGGCGUGUUUUGUGUCUGUUUCGGAGUGGAGCCUUUGGCCUGAUUUUAAUAAAUACCCCGCCCGCUGCACCAACCUUUCCUGAAAGCCACCCUUGAUCAGAAUGUUGCCAUCCCAAUUCAACCAUUUUCAAAACUUCAUAUUGUUCACACAAAAUCCUAAGAACUUGGUCACCAUGGUCCACCACCAGGACGCCUUGAAAGUACCAGCAGAAUCAGAAAAGGGUCAAAGAAAAGCCUUUCAAGGCCAAAGAAAUGAACCUACAUGCAGUAAGACCCUAGACUAGGGAAUGAAGAAGCCAAAGUUGCCCCAACUAAGUCAAGAAAGAGGUCAGGCCUGGGAAGCUAGAAGUCCAUGACUCAAGUUCCAGCUCCUAACACUAUAAGGCAAUCUUGGAUAGUACUAAUUAGUACAGACUCCUAGAAAUACCAGUAAUCUGGAUGGAACCUCUAAUGUCACAGAUGAUGAAACUAAGGCCUACAAACAGAACAGACUGUGCCUACAAUCCCACAGCAAAUCUUGGGAUAGAGCAGAAAGAACCCAAAUAAUUCACUUCUAAGUCCAAUAUUCUUUAUUUCAUGAAAACAGACCUGUGGAAUAAAGUGGAAUAUCCAGAAACAGACAAGUACACAGAGGUAGCAUCUCAAACCCCUGAAUCAAAGAUAGACAUUUUAACAGAUAGUGUUGUGAUAGUUGGGUAGCAAUUUGUGAAAAGCUAAAAUUAGGUUAAUAUCACAAAUAAUAUACAAGAAUAAAUUCCAAAUGGAUUACCAAAAUAAAUGUUAAAAACCCCAAAUCAGAUAUGUUCCAGAAGAAAAUAGGAGGUAAUUCCACCUUUAACUUUGGUGUAAGACAUUCUAUGACUCAUCCAGGGACAAAGAGAGAAAAGGUCAAUAUAUUUGCCCAUUUAUGAAAAAACAACAAUACAACUCCUGCAAAAAUAAUACCAGAACAAUUCAAACUGUAAAUUCAGCUUGAAAAAAUUCAGCACAAUUAUGUCAUACAGAUAGACAAAGCAUACUGAAAAGUGGGCAAAAGUCAAUUAACAAGAAGAUAUAAAAGUCUCCUUUAAACAUGAAACAUGUUCAACCUCACAAACACUAAAAAAAUUCAAAGUAAAACUCCUGUGAGGAGAAAGCCGUAAGAAGAAUGAAGACCUAUCUGAGAGCUGGGAGAUGGGGAUGGGACAGGGAAAGGAUACUGGAGAGAGGAUAGAGCAGAGCAG